UCAGGUACAGAAUUUGCCAAACAUAUUAUUCCAAUGGAUCCAAUCACAAUCUUACUUUCCAUCAUCUGUAUAUCUUUCCUAUAUUUUUCCUAUGGUCGGAGUAAAAGCAAGUAUUGGAAUUUCCCCCCUGGACCAUAUGCCUUACCAAUCAUAGGAAAUAUACACCAUUUAGAUUUGAAGAAGCCAAACAAAUCAUUGAUCCAG